rnacentral:rRNA from 1 species
UACGAAGGGGGCUAGCGUUGCUCGGAAUCACUGGGCGUAAAGCGCACGUAGGCGGCCAACUAAGUCAGACGUGAAAUCCCCAGGCUCAACCUGGGAACUGCGUCUGAUACUGGAUGGCUUGAAUCCGGGAGAGGGAUGCAGAAUUCCAGGUGUAGCGGUGAAAUGCGUAGAUAUCUGGAGGAAUACCGGUGGCGAAGGCGGCAUCCUGGACCGGCAUUGACGCUGAACAGCGAAAGCUAGGGGAGCAAACGGG